CAGGAAACAGGAAACGUUCACGUUUCGGCGGGGCUGAAAGUGCGCGCAGCAUCAUGAUGCCGGGGCGCGCGGAUCCCGAGGCGCCCCGCGCCGCCCUCAUCUUCGCCCUGCUCAUCGCGUUCCUCCCCACCCGCCAGGCGCAGGAAAUGGAGGAAACAGAACUGUCAGCAGAAAUGUCCGGAGACAUGCAAAACCUGGAGGAAGAGGCUACGGCUCCAAGCACAUCUGCUGCGGUGACCACAGAAAUAUUCACUGCCAGUAUGACUUCUACCGUUAUUGAUGACGAUGCAGGCCAAUUAGAGUUUAUAUUAAUGGUGUUGAUCCCGUUGAUUGUAUUGGCCGUCCUACUUUUAUCCGUGAUACUCUUUGUAAUAUACCAUAAAAGAAAAAGGAAUAAACAAGAGCCCUCUAGCCAAGGAUCGCAAAGUGCUUUACAGACACAUCACCUGGGAAGUGAAAACAUGAAAGUCCCUAUUUUUGAGGAAGACACACCCUCUGUGAUGGAAAUAGAAAUGGAAGAGCUUGAUAAGUGGAUGAACAGCAUGAAUAGAAAUGCCAACUAUGAGUGUUUACCUACUUUAGAGGAAGAAAAGGAACCAAACCACAGCAACCCAAGGGCACCAGCUCAGUAGUUGUGGCGUGCGGGCUUAGCUGCCCCGCGGCAUGUGGGGAUCUUAGUUCCCUGACCAGGGAUGGAACCCACGUCCCCUGCAUUGGAAGGCGGAUUCUUUACCACUGGACCACCAGGGAAGUCCCUGUGCCUAUAAAUUUUAUGUGACAAUUUUCAUGGGUGUAUGGAGAAACGGAAGUGUGAGUUAUGGAAAAUAGAAAGUGACAAUGAAUCCUGAAACUGAAUCGUGCUAAUGUUUUCCAAGAGAAAGCAGCCCCGGAGGAAGCCUGCUGGGCCUGCCAGCAGAGGAUGAAGAGGAUCCGAAUUUAAUUAAUUUCAAAUCAACGUAAACACAAGAACCUUUUGCUGUUGCUUCCAGCGCCCACUCUUCCAACGCCCAGUGCAUCACCUGUACUUGGAAGAAUGCUCGAUUGAGAAGUGCUAGGCAAAGGCGUGGCUGCUGAGGGUGGAGGAACCAUAACAUGCAGUCAGCGCUUAUCAGUGGGUGUUCCCUCCACUCAGCCAACCUCUAGAUGACUGUACCAUUACCCUGGUCACGCUCUCAAGUCCUUGUUACCUUUCUGCUUCAUUCCUCAGGGUACAAAUCAGGAAGCUGUCUAUGGUUUCCUUCUGGGUCACCUUGCGACCUAGAUAGCUUUGGAUAAUUUCCUCUCAUGAGUUAAGUUCUCUGAUAGGUCAAUUACAUUCAGUGGGAACUUUGCUCAAGGUGAGUUAUGUCAUGGAAAAGACAGCAAACAAAGCAAGUGUUUCAAUGUGGACACCAUCCCAGGGGGUGGGUAAGCUCAUUUCCACCUGCCAUGAGACACAGUGUGAGAGCCCACAGUCCUGAAGGGAUGCUGUUUGGUGACGUGUUGACCCUGAGUUGGCCAGGUGAUGGAGGAGUGGAAUUCUCAGUGAAAGAGCAACUGUUUUCCUUCUCGGAGAAAAUCAACUGCUUGUUCACAUUUCCCCACGGCUCAUCCCUGUCCUCACCACAACUCCCUUGCGUGUGAUGUAUGGAUAGAUGUGUGCAGCUGGGCCUCCUCUGCCACCUUCUGUGUCUCUGAGAUCUUUAAGGUUGUUUGGAACAAGCAGAACAGCAAUAGGCUCUGUCUGUGCCCGAGGCAGGUACCCUUCCUCACACUCGGGAUCUUUCCUGCCAGCCGGACCAGGGCUCGUGUCCUCAACGCAGCUCCCAGGGGGCCACCACCGGUCAUCAGAGAUGACAUUCUACGUGAUAUUUGUUGACAUCCUCCUGCUAGGAGCAAUGGUGCAAAAUGCAGAAGGGCCUAGUUAUUGCUCCCACUCACGUAAAAUCAAUCUCCAUUUAAUCCUUAAUUUUCCAAUUCUGACCUUUAAAGCAAUCUAGCAAAUUAGGAGCCCUCAGCUCUUCCACGGCACCUGAUGUUUUAUUCCAGGAAAGAAACAAAGAAUGAAAACUGUAUCUUACUCCCCGCAUAUAAACUGAGGGGGGCUUGAGGUUCACCAAAUAUUUGCUGCUGUUAUUUGGGUUCUUGUGUUUGAAAGGCUGCCUUAGUGCAUAACGAAAACAGUCCUUUUUUUUCAGAAUCCCUUUAACCAGCACUUGCCUUCUGAACUAUGCCCACAAUUUUAAAGGCAGAGUUCCAAGCCAGGGAGGUCUUUCCACCGCAGUGAAAGAUAGAACUAUCUGGCUGUGUUUAACCACUGCUCUUAGGCCAUCCCGGGAUUGCAAAGAGCUUUGGCAAAAGACAGUCUUCAUGGUACAGAACCACAACAGAUCUGUCUGUUGUAUUCUCUUUAGCACAUCCUAAUAUGGCAUUUUUGUUUUCAUUGCUAUUUUGCAUAUUCAUAUUCAACUUGUGGUCCAUAGUGACUCUCAAGAUAUUUAUGCCAAAAUUGCUACUUUCCAAAUCAUCAUUUCUGGCUGUUUUGUUACUUUGUUUCUCAUCCACAUUUUGACUCUAAAGAGUCUCUUCUUUCUCUAGGUAGCUAAGAUUUUUGCUUAACUUUUAGGCCUGUAAGCGUCAUCCAAUCCUAUCAAAUAGUGGACUUUAGCAGUUCAGAGAAGGAUAGGAGGUCUUGGAGUCUCACUUUGAUGAAGUUAUAUUUUAUGAUAUGGUAAAUAUAUUCUCAUUCAGUAUUUGAAAUGACUUCAAAUUCCAGAAGAAGCAAGCUUCAGCAAUAUGUCAUUGUGUUUAUAUCUGAAAAAUGUACUAACCUCUAUAGUUGCAUAAUGUGCAAAGCACUUUAAAAAAAGAGUUUAUUCUGGCAAGAUAUAUGACAUUAGUAUGAGUCAAAACAGCCAAAGUUCAAUUCUAGUGCUCUGUAUCUUUUUAUUACUGUCCAGUCAAGAGGCAUCAUAGAUUAUGAUCAUUCCAAGAACUGUUUUUAAACCCAAACUUAAUUUUUAUGUUUCAGAUUAUUGUUAGUAAAAAUCUUAAUAAUUUGCCCUAAUUGGGUAGCCAAUCAGAGCAAAAUCUGACUUUAGAAUAUUUUCAAGUUGUGUAAAUUUUAUUGCAUUUUUGUACGUAUUAAGUAAGCUAAGUUAGCAACAUUGCCUUGUUGAACUCCUCAGGAAACUUGUUGUAAUAAAGAUGUGAAAACCUCAGUCUUAACUCAGUGAUGUGACUCCUCUCUCUGGGAAGGUCAUUGUCAUCCAAACAGCGAGCACAUAGCAUGGAUCGAUCUUGACAUCCAUGGGGUGACAGAUGCUUCUGAUCACCCUUGUAGCUCUAGCAACGUAAACAGGCGCUUUAAAAAAUACUUUUGUCUGUUCAUUUGCUUUGGUUGCUUAAACUAUCAGUUUUCACCAUCUCUGUAAGAAGGCCCUUAUGUUGAGUAAACAUAAAGUGUACACAUUAGUUUCAACUUCUGUCAGAAUUAGUACAAAUUCUGAAUAUAGUAGAGCAAUAAGACAUGGCUCACACUGGGAAGACAUGGCUGAAAUUCUCACUGUGAGGAAGACAUUGACAUUUUCUACUGAAUUAAAUUUACACAUGCUGCUUUUUCACACGCAGGAUGAAUUCUGGCCUGUCUAUUUAAUAUCUACAAUAGGUGGUCCAGAGUAGCUUCAUUCAUAGAUUACAUUUCUUUGCUUUUACAAUAACCAGAAGAUCACCGUAUAUUAGUGUGGUGUGGAAGUAGUCAAAUUGGUUAUUAAUAAUUGCAUAACCCAAAUACCCAAUUGCCUGAAUUAUUUAUUUUUUCGCACAUCUCUUUCACAUUGCCUUGAUACUGUCUUGUCUGGUAACCAAAUUUUAUUUUCCUCUUAGUCCUUUUGUAGAUAUCUGGUGGGGUUUGUAUUGAUUUUUGCCCUAUUAUCUUUUCUAAAUAAUACGCCAUGUUCAUGAGACAGCAAUCCAUACAAUAUAUAAAAUAAAACUUUUAAAGUCACCUCUAUGGAUACUCUAAGCCAUUUCUGAAAUGAUAUUUUAAGAAGUUAACUUCUUAAACCAAAGUACUUACAGUAACAUAAGGACUUUAAUCUCAUUGCUGUACAAGAUUAGAAAUAUAUGUUGAACUGCUUAAGACAACCAAAGGUGGAUGGGGUCCCGUGCCAAUUGGUCUCCAGGUGCAGAAGGCUCUGUUAAUCCUCCUCCUUCGUUGCCAUCAUAUUAUUAUCACUGGCCUUUGGUAGGUUAUAAAUAAAUAAUUAGACUUUUACAAAAAGCCUAUUCUUCACAUUUUUCACUUCUUUUGUCUGCAUGGAAAGGAAUAAGUUAAUGAUCUCUAGAUACUACAA